CACGGGAAGCUUGCUUCCUGGUGGCGAGCGGCGGACGGGUGAGUAAUGCAUAGGAAUCUGCCCGGUAGUGGGGGAUAACCUGGGGAAACCCAGGCUAAUACCGCAUACGCCCUACGGGGGAAAGCAGGGGCUCUUCGGACCUUGCGCUAUCGGAUGAGCCUAUGUCGGAUUAGCUGAUUGGUGAGGUAAUGGCUCACCAAGGCGACGAUCCGUAGCUGGUCUGAGAGAAUGAUCAGCCACAUCGGGACUGAGACACGGCCCGAACUCCUACGGGAGGCAGCAGUGGGGAAUAUUGGACAAUGGGCGCAAGCCUGAUCCAGCCAUGCCGCGUGUGUGAAGAAGGCCUUAGGGUCGUAAAGCACUUUCAGUGAGGAAGAAAGCCUUGCGGUUAAUACCCGUGAGGAAGGACAUCACCCACAGAAGAAGCACCGGCUAACUCCGUGCCAGCAGCCGCGGUAAUACGGAGGGUGCGAGCGUUAAUCGGAAUUACUGGGCGUAAAGCGCGCGUAGGUGGCUUGAUAAGCCGGUUGUGAAAGCCCCGGGCUCAACCUGGGAACGGCAUCCGGAACUGUCAGGCUAGAGUGCAGGAGAGGAAGGUAGAAUUCCCGGUGUAGCGGUGAAAUGCGUAGAGAUCGGGAGGAAUACCAGUGGCGAAAGCGGCCUUCUGGACUGACACUGACACUGAGGUGCGAAAGCGUGGGUAGCAAACAG
rnacentral:rRNA from 1 species